CCGCAUGCUACGACUGAAAGUGUUGGUUGCGAACGCAUCGGUUCGCAUAAGGUUAAAAUUUGCGGUUAUAUGCGAU
ncrna:unclassified sequences RAGATH-26 RNA